rnacentral:rRNA from 1 species
UACGAAGGGGGCUAGCGUUGUUCGGAAUCACUGGGCGUAAAGGGCGCGUAGGCGGCCGAUCAAGUCGGGGGUGGAAGCCUGUGGCUCAACCACAGAAUUGCCUUCGAUACUGUUUGGCUUGAGACCGGAAGAGGUUAGUGGAACUGCGAGUGUAGAGGUGAAAUUCGUAGAUAUUCGCAAGAACACCAGUGGCGAAGGCGGCUGACUGGUCCGGUUCUGACGCUGAGGCGCGAAAGCGUGGGGAGCAAACAGG